CUUCCUGCAUGCGCUCUCCCUUGGCCUCUCUCUUGGAUCACUCGCUCUGCAGAAAGCCAGCUGCCAUGAGGUAAGCUGCAGUCCACAUGACUCACCUUGGAAUAUAUACUUCCCACCACCCCUGAAAGAAAGAGCCUCCAGAGUAGAAGAACUUAUCCAGCCUUGCACUGGUCUGUAGCAAAGAGGAAGAAAGGAACAAAGCACAGGACUUUUGAUAGUUUACUACCACCUACCUGAGGGACAUGGACUGAUGGCUAUUAACAAUCAACCAGUUCAGGUGAGUAGUAUCUCAUGAGAAGAAUCAAGCGAGUUCUGCAAAGGAAGGAAUUAUAUUCUGCUUGAACACCUGAGUUCUUUGGCAGCUCUGCUACACUUCUCUGAAAAUACCCAGAAGGCAGCUUCUAUGGUCUCUUAAAGUGAUUGACUCUUUGCAGAUGCAGCCUGUUUGCACCUGAACCAGCUGUACUAGGAAGAGAAGGAUGUAUCUACUAGUUCCACUCUUUCAUCAGUCAAAACAAUGCAGGCAAAAACAAUGCAUGCCUUUAAAAAAAUAGUCUUCAGCUACCUUUCUGGUGGAAACUGACAUUACAGCUCUCAUUUGUGGGGCUGAUCCUCCAGGCAGAGCCAGCCUAGGGCAGUGUGUGCUGGCUCCAGGCCACCCGCAGCUCCGUUACUCGGGGAACUUUGGGGCUAUGUUUGGUUGUUCCUUCGUGACACGGGUUCCCUGCUG